rnacentral:rRNA from 2 species
ACCGAUAACUGGGGUGAAGUCGUAACAAGGUAGCCGUAUCGGAAGGUGCGGCUGGAUCACCUCCUUUCUAAGGAA